UGACCUCAAAUCAGGUAGGACUACCCGCUGAACUUAAGCAUAUCAAUAAGCGGAGGAAAAGAAACCAACAGGGAUUACCUUAGUAACGGCGAGUGAAGCGGUAAGAGCUCAAAUUUGAAAUCUGGUACCUUCGGUGCCCGAGUU
rfam:Babjeviella inositovora NRRL Y-12698 unplaced genomic scaffold BABINscaffold_4, whole genome shotgun sequence.